GAUGAAGAACGUAGCGAAAUGCGAUAAGUAAUGUGAAUUGCAGAAUUCAGUGAAUCAUCGAAUCUUUGAACGCACAUUGCGCCCACUAGUAUUCUGGUGGGCAUGCCUGUUCGAGCGUCAUUUCAACCCUCAAGCCUUAGUUGCUUGGUGUUGGGAGCUUAUCUUGCCGAAAGGCGGACAACUCCUUAAAACUAUUGGCGGAGUCGCGGUGACCCCAAGCGUAGUAAAUCUUUUUUUUCUCGCUUUAGGUGUUAACGCUGGCUUUCUAGCCGUUAAACCCUCAAAAUUUUUAGUGGUUGACCUCGGAUCAGGUAGGACUACCCGCUGAACUUAAGCAUAUCAAUAAGCGGAGGA
rnacentral:misc_RNA from 1 species